CUUGUUUAUGUAUUUAUGUUUGAUUUGGUGACGGAGACUAAUGACAAAUAGGAAUGAGAUAUGAUCUGAUAAAUGGAUAAGAUAACAGCCUCACUAGAUAUCCUGAGAGAUGGUGGACGGAUCGGGUUCAUAGGGGACUCUACCGUGAACGUUGUCUCAUACCGAACGUGGUAUGGAGACUUAGUCAUUUGGCGCUCAUACCGGACGGGGUAUGGGAACGACCCGCUUCACCCUCAUACCGGACGGGGUAUUGAGGUUUAAUGUCUUGACGCUCAUAUCGGACGGGGUAUAAGGACGACCCUGGAAUUAAGACAGUAAGGGAGAAUGGCUUACGUGUAGCGUGGACACCCCUUAUAGAUCCCAAUGGAUAUUAACAGGUUAGUGAAAACGAGAAACGGUGAUAAUCAAUGAUUGUUAAUGAAUACGGAUUUAUGAU
rnacentral:lncRNA from 1 species